rnacentral:sRNA from 1 species
AUUCAGUGUUUCUGUGGUGUCUGGUGAUGGUCUUUCCUUUCCAUAUUUAGUGAUUCCUUUAGGAGCUCUUCACCAAAUGUGGCUCCUUCAGAUGUAGGAGGUGGAGGUGGAAGAAACAGAGAGCUGACCAUAACAUGGGCGCCUUUGUCAAGAGAAUACCACUAUGGCAACAAUUUUGGUUACAUAGUGGCAUUUAAGCCAUUUGAUGGAGAAGAAUGGAAAAAAGUCACAGUUACUAAUCCUGACACUGGCCGAUAUGUCCAUAAAGACGAAACCAUGAGCCCUUCCACUGCGUUUCAAGUUAAAGUCAAGGCCUUCAACAACAAAGGAGAUGGACCUUACAGCCUAGUAGCUGUCAUUAAUUCAGCACAAGACGCUCCCAGUGAAGCCCCAACAGAAGUAGGUGUAAAAGUCUUAUCAUCUUCUGAGAUAUCUGUUCAUUGGGAACAUGUUUUAGAAAAAAUAGUGGAAAGCUAUCAGAUUCGGUACUGGGCUGCCCAUGACAAAGAAGAAGCUGCAAACAGAGUUCAAGUCACCAGCCAAGAGUACUCGGCCAGGCUCGAGAACCUUCUGCCAGACACCCAGUAUUUUAUAGAAGUCGGGGCCUGCAAUAGUGCAGGGUGUGGACCUCCAAGUGACAUGAUUGAGGCCUUCACCAAGAAAGCACCUCCUAGCCAGCCUCCAAGGAUCAUCAGUUCAAUAAGGUCUGGUUCACGCUAUAUAAUCACC